CUUGAGAGCUUCUAGCCCACUAUCCUUUUUAUUAGUUUCUUCCAAAAAGAAACUGAAGGGGUAUAAGGUUGUCUAGUUGAAGACUUGAAGGUGUGCCUGGCAAAGGAGCAUCACGGACCAAUCUGACUGAUCCAACAGUUAAAGGAAUAUCGACCAAAUCGAGAAACACGUCGGACUUUUGUUGAUUGAGCAAAACACUUAUGUCAGCACGACAGCACAAGAUUUAGCUGCAGGCUAAAAGUUGGAAGCAAUCACUCGCCUGAUCACCGACGAAAUCGAGAAGCCUCGCAGACGCUGAGGAGACGGGAUCGACGCCGCCGCGCAUCCGAUGAGCGUGCCGCGCCGCCUGCGCCAGCGAGUAGAGUAACGCCAGCGACGCGAUUGCAAGCAGGUACCUAGGGAGAGAGACAGAAGACGCAACAAUAAGCCAAAAAUAAACACGGAUCGAAGAGCACGCCGAGCUCGAACGAACCCCGAGCAACCGUCGUCCGCUGGCGCACCUGUACUCCUGGUAGCGGUCGAACUGCAUCCAGUCGCCGUGCUGGUUGGACGCGACGAGCACGAGCGCGACGAAGGCGAAGAUGGCGGCCGCGGCAUGCAGCGCGAGGGGGCUCUUGUCGAGCAUGUCCUCCCGCCGCCACCGCGCCACCACCGAGUCCACCACGCCACCGCCGCCGUCGCCGCGGCGGGCGCGGGCGCCCGUGCCGCCAUCUGCGGUGGUGGAAGCGCCGUUGUAGGGAGCGUAGUCCGGCUUCUCGACGUCCUGCGGCUUCUCUGCGGCUGCGGUGGCGGCGGUGGUGGCGGCGGCGGCCGCUUCAGUAGUGACCAUCGCCAUCGCUUUGCGGCGCACAGCGUCGAGGUGGUGGAUGGGUGCGAGGGGAAGGGAGGGGAACAAUAUUAGCGGGGCUUGUGAGAUUAAAAAUAAAAGUGCUUUAUUUACAAGUGCUUUGUGUGUGAUUCCGGGAAGGCACUUGUGCAUUACAGAGGUGGAAGCAAACGAGGUCAUUCGCACAGACAGUGAGUGAGACAGAUCAGCGGUUUCUCCAAAUAAUUACCAGAACAGAACUCAGUAGAAUAAUCUCCAUCCACCAGUGGACAUGGGCCCACUUGUCAGUUACUCAUGUGUUAGCAUCCAUUGUCCCACGACGUGUUGUGUGAUAUCAAGGUACUGCUGCUAGGAGAGGAUAAUAUGUUCGCUUGAGUUUAUCUAAGUGUUUUUUUAUAAUAAAUUAGCGAAUAGUACUUU